rnacentral:misc_RNA from 1 species
CGCACAUUGCGCCCUCUGGUAUUCCGGGGGGCACGCCUGUUCGAGCGUCAUUGAAUCAAUCAAGCCCGUCUUGGUAUUGGGCGAUCUUUUAACGGAGACUCCCCAAAAAUUAGUGGCGUGAGCGUCUGGAGAAGAAUGCACUGGAAUUUUUAAUUAAAUUAUCAUUCUUGCCUCUUGGGCGUUCACUGCCAGCAACUGAUAGCCCGGUUGCCCACUGGGAUACUUAGCAUGAUUGACCUCGGAUCAGGUGGGAAUACCCGCUGAACUUAA